rnacentral:rRNA from 1 species
GACGUAGGGCGCGAGCGUUGUCCGGAUUUAUUGGGCGUAAAGAGCUCGUAGGCGGCUUGUCGCGUCGACUGUGAAAUCCCCGCGGCUCAACUGCGGGUCUGCAGUCGAUACGGGCAGGCUAGAGUUCGGUAGGGGAGACUGGAAUUCCUGGUGUAGCGGUGAAAUGCGCAGAUAUCAGGAGGAACACCGGUGGCGAAGGCGGGUCUCUGGGCCGAUACUGACGCUGAGGAGCGAAAGCGUGGGGAGCGAACAGG